rnacentral:rRNA from 1 species
CCUACGGGAGGCAGCAGUGGGGAAUAUUGCACAAUGGGGGAAACCCUGAUGCAGCGACGCCGCGUGAGCGAUGAAGUAUUUCGGUAUGUAAAGCUCUAUCAGCAGGGAAGAAAAUGACGGUACCUGACUAAGAAGCCCCGGCUAACUACGUGCCAGCAGCCGCGGUAAUACGUAGGGGGCAAGCGUUAUCCGGAUUUACUGGGUGGAAAGGGAGCGUAGACGGUCCUGCAAGCCAGAUGUGAAAGCCCGGGGCUCAACCCCGGGACUGCAUUUGGAACUGUAAGGCUAGAGUGUCGGAGAGGCAGGCGGAAUUCCUAGUGUAGCGGUGAAAUGCGUAGAUAUUAGGAGGAACACCAGUGGCGAAGGCGGCCUGCUGGACGAUGACUGACGUUGAGGCUCGAAAGCGUGGGGAGCAAACAGGAUUAGAUACCCUUGUAGUC